UCCUGAUCAUAAAUAACUCUCUAUUACCCAUUCUUAUGUUGGCAGUUACAAUGCUAAACUGAAAUAUAAUUUCUAUUUAAUAGAAAAUAACUUUCCCUCAAUUAUCCAGAUCUAAUCCUGUACUCCAUUUCCAAUUCAAGUGGAUUAUUUUCUUGAACAGGCCUUGAUUUCAUUCAAAAAAAUAUUCACUGAGUAGAUCAACUAUUAUGAUUCUGCCAAAGGCUUGUUGAUGUAUUCUAAUUAUGAGAUUGGGUUAAGUAGUUAGGAUGUUGUGAACCUACUACACUCAUUCCUUGGCAAUUUCAAUUCUGAAGACCUAGAAAGUCCUGAAGCCUGUUGAAGGCUUGCUCCUUUGCUCUCACAGUAUUCUUGACUACCCCCCAGUUCAUUAAAUGAGUUGUUCAUUUUAAUCCUCAGUUUCUUCACAUAUACAUCAUUGCUGCAUUUGGAUUGACUUUGCGAAGCAUUUUUGAGUGAUUCCUGAAGUAGUUUGUAUUUUUAAAAUGGAAUAUUGUUCUCUGAUUUCCAAGUGAAAGCGAAAAAGAGCAAGUCAGUGUUUGUUCUAAUAGAAUAAAUAAUAAAUCUAAAUUUGCAGGCUGUUCUUGGGCACUCUGGAGAUGCUGGGUACUACUGUUAGCUUGAGGAAUGGAUAUGAGAAUAGUCUCCAGAUGCAAUUGAUGCUGGUGUGAUUUCUAAAGAUGAUUAAAAUUGGCCAGAGGGAAAAAAAAAGAAGGCCUUAGAAAUAUACUCCAGAUGGAGGUAAAAAUAAAAUAUGUUUCAACAGAGAGGAAGAUAAUACCAAAUGAUCCUUUGGGCAGAGUAGCUCAGAAUAGAAGACACAAAGCAAAACUUGCAUUAACUCAUAAAAAAAAGUAGGAAAAAAAUCCAAACAUGGGAAUCUCAAACCAACAGAGAGUGUGUUUACUCUAGAAAAGAAAAUGACUCAUUAUGAAGAAAACAGAUGAGCAGAUGAUGAGAGAAAAGUCCAGUUUUAAGGAUGGAGUUUUGAUCAGUAGAAGACCCAUACAACUCCUUUCUGCAGCUUGUGGGUGGAUUGGUGAAUAUGAAAACUUCAUAUCCACAGUUAGGUUAAGAGAGAAAGGGAGGGAGUUUGUAAUAUGUACUUAGGAUCUUUACUAGAAGAAUACAACUAAUAUAAAACAAUAUAUCCCUAUAGAUAAUGAUUAUAUUAUAUGUGAUUAUAAUAUAAAGAUGUGAUUAUAAGAGAACUUUAUUAAAUUGAUUAUCAUAAUCAGUUACUAGAUCAUUCCAUAGUUGCUGCCAGUAGACUGGAAAACCAGACAAGCAAAUAGCUAUUCAUCUAAAAACUGAAAGCCUUAGAAUAAGAGGAAGAAACAAUGUAGCCUUACUCAGAGACAAAAAGCCUGGAAGCCUUCCCCACCCCCACUUGUAGAAUUCCAGUUGAAAUUCAUAGUUUGGAGACCAGUGCAUCUGUUUUCUACAGUGAUGGCUGCACCAGCUCAAGAAGACUGGAGUAAGUACAUGUGCAUAUGAACCUGCCCCCUUCUGCCUUUUCUCCUAUUGGCACUCUUAGAAAAUUGGCUGGUGCUGCUCCUAUUCAAAGUGGGGCUUUCCUAGUCAGUUCUCCAGCACAAAUUUUGGUUGUCUCUAGAAAUAUCCUUAAUAGACACCCUCAAAGGCAUGCUCUAAGUUUGUAGGCUGCUCUGCCUCAGAUCGACUUGGCAAUCAUGGGAUCCCUUAAUCCACUGGCUUCGAGUUAAUUACAAACAGAUCAUCGCACUUAUACUAUCCCCACCUAUUUCAGACCUUGGGAAGAGACUGAUUUAUAAUGAGAGGGGUCUCUCUUGGCAAGCUCAGAUGAGCCAACAGGUAUGCUGAGAGUUGUGGAGUAGAUAGUUUGUGGUAAGUGUCUUUGGGUGGCUACCGUAGCUAACAGUAGUGAAUUGCUUUCAGCUAGCACAAGAAUGGAAAUUUUAGUGACUUGAAAGUAGGUAAGAGCAUGAACUGCUUUUCCAUGAGACCUGGGUUCAAUUGCCAUCACCUACAUGGUGGCUCGAAACUGUAUCUUUAGUAUCAUGGGAUCUCUAAUCCUCAUCCAGUCUUGUGGGUAACUGCAUGCACAUGACAGACAUACAUGUAAGUAAAACACUCAUGCUCAUGAAAAUAAAAGGGAUUUUUAAAGGAGAGAACGGGAACCUUAGUUUCAUUCAUUCAAAGAACUGAAGUCUACCAGUCUGCAUUAAACUUGAAGAAAACUCAGACUCAGAAAAGAACCUGGCUUAGUCCACCCCUGACUUGAUUGCAUUGUUAUGAAACCAUAAGUAGAUGUCUUAAUUGAGUUUCUAUUCACAGAUUCUCUGAUUAGAUGAUUUGAGGUUGUUUCAAGUCAAUUAUUUUGUGGUCAUCCAUUAAUAUCAGGAGGAGGUGUUUGUUCUGACUAAGGAAUUCACAGAGAGAUUGGUGGAAUAAACCCUGAUAGUGUUUGCUGAGGUAUAAAUGGAAGUUGAUCAACUUAUGAUAGGU
rnacentral:lncRNA from 1 species